UAAUGAUGAUGAUUUGCUGAGGAUUUGGCUAUUAGAACUGAAACUAAAAAUGUUUUCAGUUGCUUUAAAUGAUCAGACAUCAAAAGCCUGCCUAAAAAUUGGUGUCAAAAGUCCCCACCUAAGAGUCACCUGACCACUUCCCAGGCAGAGGAGGACAAAUCAAAUCUGGAAGGAACACGCCACUGCAAUCAAUUUACCCAGAAGGCUUUAUGCUGCCUUCCUCCCUUUGUUCUUACUUCUUGACUCCAGCCAUAUGUUGCAUGAAUCAUAGCUUAAACUACACAAACCAAGAACUGUAAAGUGCACUGCAUCCCUGGAGUCUGCCUCAUCUAUCUUCUAUGGGUCUCUCACAGUCACUUCAGCCUACCAAAAAGCUUUAGAACUUAACCAGUGGUAUAAAUUAACAGUAAUAGCGGUGACUCAUAACAAACUACUAUUUCCAAGCUCAAGAAUGAAACGUAUACUUCUAUCUUUCAAGCAAACAUGGAUGAGAAGUCCUAAAAUACCUCUGAUGAAAUCAGAAGAUGUCAACAGAUCCACCUCCAUGACAACUGUCUCGAUCCGAUAAUGAAGACAGUGUGAUAGGUUAAAAGCUCCAGAAAGAGCUAGUAAGUGGACCUUGAGUUGGGGUUGUUUUGUAAAACUAUAUUUCUAUUGUUUUAGGGUUUGUUUGCCAUAAAAACAAACAUCUCAUG